CUGAAAACGAGACACGAUUUAUUUGGCGCGAAGAAGGCGAUUUGAGUUUUGGAAAGUGUAGAUAGCUUAUUAGAGCUUAGAUUGAAAAGGAUUCUGAAAGACAACAUCGCAGUCAAGGCUUGAUUGGCCGAGAGACCUCUAUCCAAGACUGUAUCAAAUCUGAAUUUAAGAAUUCUUUGUGCUGAUUGGCCCAUGCUGUCCAUGGAAAUUGAAGUUGCGAGAUCUCUCGAUCAAACAAUAUGUGCAAUCUAGUACCUGGCUUUUUGAUGCAGUUUCAUACCCUAUUGCAGUAUAUGAAGACACUAUUGAUCUGAUUGAAAAUUGAUUCAUCCCAGUGAGAGUAAAAUAAAAAUGCCUUUAAAAAGAAACCAUCCAAAUGCUUAUUCAAUAUUUUCUAUAAGCUUUUUCAAUCUGCAUUUGGAUAUGUGAUUUUUUGGCAUCGUUGUAUACUCUAAUGACUUUGGGAGAAAAAGAGCCUUCAGUUCAAUAUCCAAGCAAGUUUUUACACUUUGUAAUGCGACCCUGAGAUUUUGAGUGUGCAAGGAUGUUCAGAUAAGGUUUUCGACUCAAAAGGCUAUGUACUGUGCUUUGGCAAUUUUUAUAGGCGUUACACCAUUGAUUUAACUUCAUAUGUCAACAUUUGUGAUAGCCACCCUCUUACGUACUGCAUUUAUUCAGCCAUAAUCAUAAUCAGCCACAUUAAAUCUUCAGCCAAAAUUAGGGGUUUGUUCACAUGUAAUUUGAUAAGUAAGAGGUUCUGUCAACCUGAUUUUAACGCAUGCGGACUGCCACAUCAUGCCAUGCAUGGAAAUGUGUUGUAGGCCACCAAGGGCUGUUUUUUUCUGGGUUAUCAAAGCAAAGGAAAUCCAGAAAAUCGUUUCUGAUGCUUCGGUAUUCACAGCUGAUAGAAAUCAUGAAUAUAUCAUUGAUUUCGUAUCAAAUUGAAGAAUAUUACCUGUCUUCACUGCUUGACAAAAGGACCGCACACAAUUCUUACUUACGGGAAAUAAUUUCUAAUAGGUGAAUAAGUAUAGGUUAGGUCACAACUCAUUAUAGGUCUUAAUUCGCAUGAAUAAUAUCGAGUUUUUCCAAGUGUCGAGGGUAGAUUAAAACACGAUAUUGUGAUAUGUGUAAGUUUAAUUUAUAUCUCAGUCUUUGUGACCCAGAAUUUUUGCAAUUACGCUAGCAAGUAAGGCUUAUCAUUUUCCUGCCAUGUCAAUAGUGACGAAGUUUACUACUAUAUUUUGAGGUUAAAAUCUUCAAUUGUACAAACUAUUCUUUAAGUUGAAUCUGGCAUAUCUGUUUGACAUACAUUUAUGAGAUUUAGAGGUAAUCUACUUGAACCUACUUGGAUUCAGCUAUUAUAAGGGCUGGUCACAAACCAUUGCCGGACAAAAGAUGGCUGGAACUCUUGCAAUUUCGCCAUAGAUUUUUCAAUCGAAGUAAUGAAGACAAGCGCUGAAAGAAUUUGAAACUUGAUGUGGCAUCAAAAUUUGAUACGAUUUUGUUAAAUUCUUAAUGGUCAUGUCAAGGAUUUUGUUUACUGAUUGCAAGAAGGAGACUUGGUUUGAUAAAAUGAGGAAAUUGCAGGCUAGAUUGUAAAGCUUUAAGAAAGCACGAAACUACAGGGUACGUAGUAGGGAAAAGAAUUAAAGACGUCAAGGAGAGAAACAAAGAAUGGCCAGAGAAAACAGUGAUGUGAAAGGAAUGCCGAAUAUUGGAAAAAUAUUUCAAGAUAUCUGUCCAGACUAAGAGUUGCUCAAAUUGGUUAAGCGAUAGACGAGAUUUAAAGGUUUUUGUCAUGUAGCUAGUUCCUAUUUGUCUAUGUGUAAGUAUAUGGUGUAAAAAUUCCAGGUUUUUCAAAUAUUCUAACUUCCUUUUGAGCCUGUUGAAAAGCAUUGGUAAGCAAUUGAUCGUUCCGUUAUUAGAAUCAUAUCGUUCCAUUGAAUAAUGCACGAACACGUGCCUUAAGUGGCCCCGGAUCCGAACCAUUAACAACCGAUUUGUCACUGAUGGAACCCAAAGCCGCGGCCUAGAUUUGUUCCAUGCACCAAAGCGUGAUUCAGUGUUCUGUGAUAAAAUGUGGUUCUAAGGUAAUCAGGCGGCAGACUUUUGUUGAGCCAAUGGCAUUGCCGCUUCCUAAGAGAAUAUGCGAUCCAUCCCGUUUAAUAAGCUUCCUUUGCCACCUUGAAUUACACAUCAAAUCGCAAGGUAUUUAAUGGAGAACCGUCAAUAACCUGUUACUAACCACCGCGCUAGCUCAAUUAUGAAUAUGGUUUCUCAGCUUUUCUUCUUUUUCGUCAUAGGUAUCAAUGUCGCACUGAUAUGAGGUAGCAAUCGCUUGCUUGACCCGCUUAAACCAAAGAAUCACGUCUAAGGAAACGCCAAUGUAAGUCACUCUAUCAUACCGUCGCCCAGCCCAAAAAGAACUUGAUGUUUUAUUAUCGCUCAACUCAAAUCGAUCAAAUGACACUACGUUAAGGCUUCGUUAAGAGGUAGCUCGGGUCUUUUUAGCCUUGAUUCAAAUAUAACAAUCAGAAAUAAGCAGUUGUUAUUAUUUGCGAUUGGCAUCCUUUACUCAUCUCAUGCUGCACACCUUCUCCACUGUGCCUGUGUAAUGCCUCCCACCAACCAAUUUCAAUUGAUUUUCCUGCAACAAAGCAAGCAUUGUCGCUAGCAAUCUUAAUAUCCUAUUUCAUUUUAGCCUUGUUUCUUUGAAUUUUUGUGGUUGAGUCAACAUAUGUAGGGCAUACAACUGCGACAUCUUUCAUGGUUAGGUGCGUGCAUUCACUCACAAAAUGCUCUUGUAUCAGGGGCCAAAGGCCACGGUAGCUGUUAAGAAUCGAAAUUUAUCAGUUAAUAACAGCAUACAGACAAAGAUCUUACCAAACUUUCUCCAAGGACUUUCAAUGCAAUGCAUGAUUUCAGGAAAAUUUUCAUCUUCCCUCCAAACAAUAAACUAAACUUUUAACACAUUUCUUGAAGCAAAAAAAAAGGUGUGGUAAUUUCAUUUGGCCAUAGAUCAUUUGCCGUAAAACCUCUGGCCGUGCGACCAUUGUCCGUGCGACCGUUGUCCGUGCGACCUGUGUCAAUACAAUCCCCGAUUUUUCUUGCACCAUAUAUUCUAUGCUGCAGUUAAAGAGAAAACAAGAGAACUUUUAUGCAUGGUUGGUAAGAUACUUUUCUUCAAAUCUGAAUUCACAUAUAGAAUAAAUGAAGGUACUGACCCAAGAUUAUGCUGCAUUGUGAUUAUUUUUUAUUCAAUCACUAAAUGAGCACAAUGAUUUAAGCAUUGGAUGAAAUAAAAACCAUAUUAACAGGGACAGAUUUUAGAGGGACAUGGAUUGGGGGUGUUAGAUAAAAAUUUUGUUUUUCAUACCACAUUUUUAAGGUGCCCAAAAAACGAUGGAAUUGCCGAUUUUCGCUACUACGUUUUAAACUGUAAUAUAAAGAAGAUGAGAACAGAAUAAAUUAAAAUCUUGGCGUCCUUGAACUACUACUGACUACCAACAAAAUCUUUUUACCGAAUCUAAUAAAAUUGACUGAAUGAGACAAAAGUAUUAGGGGUAUCGCACCCCCACUGCCCCAUUUAGUCCGUCCCUGAACUGUGCAUGGUAUUUAGAGCCACCUUUUCCAUUCAACUUCUAUUAUAAGACUGAAAGGCAAAACCACAAGUUCUUUUAAACGCAGGUGUUCACAGGCGAAACAGGAGUUGCGUAACUUCUGCUACUUUGCGCGUGUUUCCUGUCAAAUCGCUUCAAUUUAUAUGGUUCUUUUAAACAUUUAAAUGGCAAGGUGGAACAAUGAUAAAGCACACAAGAUCCUGUGCUUGCGUAGCAGAAAAGUGGCUUGCUUGGCGCCGCGAGUUAAGACAAAGACGACUGUCUUUUAACUCCUGAUUUGAUUUGCGCCCAUAAAGGGGUAUAAUGAUGUAAGAACAGCAAGAGGUUUUCACAACAUGGCGCGCUUUUUGUCCUUUUUCAACAUGUCAAGUCCUUUAACGAGCUUGCAGUACUUAACAGUCGGUUAAAACAUGAAGGCUAGCAAACCGAGGUUACCUCCCAAACCUCUUCUUCGCUUUAGAGAUGCAAAUCAAGGAAGGUUUUUGAUUUUUAAAAGCAAUGAUUUCUUUAAGGGGUGGUACUAAGCAAACUGAAUGUGUGAGUUAUGCUCGAAUAUUCCCCGCCCUAAAAAUCUCUUUUAUACUCUUGAUUUAGCAGGAUUUAAAGCCUUUGCAGUUUUUAUCUCCUAUCUGCUGAAAUAGAACUCCUCAAACGAGGUCAGGUCCUGUAUAAUGUAUAAACUAAAUAAGUGCAAUUGAUAUACUUAAAUGUUAUUUCGAAAAUAUUUCACUCAAAAGCGCUACACAAACUUUUCAUAUUUCGAAAGGUUAUUUCUCACGACAUAAAUUGCAAAGUUGAACUUGAUAUUAGAUUCUGGACGUGAUCAAACAUUGAAAAUAAAAGCGAGAGUUUUAAGCACGAGAAGGCAAUAUACUUUUUUUCCUAUUCAAGAAGUACACUUUUAUAUCAAGACGACUCACGUGAACUGAAUGGCUAGAAAAGUCUUCCUUGACGUCGGCAAUACGACGCAGUACAAUCCAAGGCAUGUUCGCAGCUCUUACAAUUGUCAUGCCAAGAAAUGAUACCGAAUCACCAACAAUCAAUGAUUUUUUUUCAAAUAACAGCUUUUGGAAAGUGAUGAUUCCUAAAUAUUAUGUAGAGUUUCGACUUUUUGUUGUUUGCAAUUUGAAUUUCCGUGAAAGCAAUCAAACAAAAAAGACUACAAUCGGACGUCUGUAGCCGUAAUUUUUGUUUUUGGGCGUAACUUUGGUUUUGGGACGUAGCUAGAUAAUAAUUUUGCAAUUGGUUUUAGAAAACAUAAGAAGAUAUUGCAAAUAGUUUUUUCUAAAAAAAUUCGAGCCAUUCCUAUCUUUGUUACAGUAUGGCUUCUAUACUUAGUUUUACCUGAAGUCGCUGUGUUAAGAACGUGAACACCGACCCAAUAGAUCUUGUUACUUCAAAAGAAGGAGUAAACCGUUGCAUCUUCCCAUAAUGUCCAAAGAGCAUCUCUUGUAUGAAUUACUACAGAUAGAUCUCACAUUU